GACCCCAGGUCAGGCGGGGC
rnacentral:rRNA from 5 species